rnacentral:rRNA from 1 species
CCUACGGGUGGCAGCAGUGAGGAAUAUUGGUCAAUGGCCGGAAGGCUGAACCAGCCAAGCCGCGUGAGGGAGGAAGGCGCAGAGCGUCGCAGCCCUCUUUUACCGGGGGACAAAAGGCCGGACUCGUCCGGUCCUGCGGGUACCCGGAGAAAAAGCAUCGGCUAACUCCGUGCCAGCAGCCGCGGUAAUGCGGCGGAUGCGAGCGUUAUCCGGAUUCAUUGGGUUUCAAGGGUGCGGAGGCGGGCCUUUACGCCGGCGGUGAAAUCGCGGGGCGCAACCCCGCCGAGCCGUCGGAACUGGGGUCCGUGAGAGCGGGGGAGGCAUGCGGAAUGGGCGGUGUAGCGGUGA